UUGCUUUAUGUGAGACAAGGGCUCGUGUCACCCAGGGUGGUCUUGACUGUAUAGAUGAGAAUGACUUUGAAUUUAGAAUCCUACCACUUCCUCUGCUUGAAUACUGGGAUUACAGGUUUGUACCGGCUUGCCAGAUUUUAUGGGGUGCUGAGGGCUUCGUGCAUGCAAUGCAAGGAAGGCAUUCUACCAACUGAGCUACAACCCCAACUCUUUUUAUGGCUUCUGUCCACUGUCCUUUUCAAUCGCAGGAGUUUUUGCUCACUUUGUUCCUGGCCGUACAUCCCCAGUGCCUGCCACUGACAGACAGAAUUUGAUCUUGAGCGAGUGGGCACUGUGGCAAAUGGGUUGGGUGGCAGAAAGGAGAGAGGCUCAUGAACGUUUGAGGCUAGCGGUGAGAAGGAGGUAAGGAAGGCCCCCUCCAGCCUCGGUUUCUUCAUCUGCAAAUAGGAUCGCAACAGCAGCCCGAGACACGGGAUAACUAGGGAAAACAGGCUCCUUUCUUCCCUGUCAGUGUAGGACUCAUUUGGAGGCUGUUCCCUGCCUGCUCAGCAUCCUUAGCUAUGCCCACAUCAGCUUUCAAACCUCAUGCAGACAUGUUUAAUGACUUGAGAUGGGAUAGGACUCUGGAUCUUCAUGGACUUGGUGUUUGCUUGACCUGCCUGCCUGACCACCCAACCACACAGGAGUCGGCAGUCAGCGUGGUCAAGUCCAGGAGCCAUAGGGUCACUCUGGCCUUGCUUCCCUG